CUAAAGUCAACAAGCCAUUUAAGUUCAAGUGCUAUUUUUGUAAGAAAGUAGGACACAUGAAGAAGGACUGUACAGGAUUUAAGGCAUGGCUUGUGAAAAAGGGGAUUCAUAGGGAUGAGGAAGCCAAGAAGUGAUGAAGCUAACAUCUGCGUUGGAAAUGGAAUGAGGGUUGCAGUCAAGGCAGUAGGAUCUUUAAGACUAGAUUUGGGAUUAGGAAAUUUUCUGGUUUUAGAUAGUGUUUAUUACAUUCCCUCAAUUAAGAGGAAUUUGCUUUCAGUUAGUCUUUUGGUUAAAAGUGGAUGUAAUUUUUACAUUGGUUCUAAUGGAAUAAAAAUUUUCAAGGAUUCUCUUGA